rnacentral:rRNA from 1 species
UACGAAGGGUGCAAGCGUUACUCGGAAUUACUGGGCGUAAAGCGUGCGUAGGUGGUGAGUUAAGUCUGUCGUGAAAGCCCCCGGGCUCAACCUGGGAAUGGCGAUGGAUACUGGCUCGCUAGAGUGCGGUAGAGGAGAGUGGAAUUCCCGGUGUAGCAGUGAAAUGCGUAGAGAUCGGGAGGAACAUCAGUUGCGAAGGCGGCUCUCUGGACCAGCACUGACACUGAGGCACGAAAGCGUGGGGGAGCAAACAGG